AGGUGCUCAGGCUGUUGUUCAAUACAUGGUUGAGCUUGUUGAAAAGAGGGAUGUCAAGACACGAGCCAUGAAGCAGAAAAAGAGUUGGGCUCAGAUAUGCUUCUUUUCGAGGUCUAACAAAAGGAAGCGCAGUGGCAUGGACUAUGUGAAAGCUUGAUUGCUGCAAAUGUAACAAGAUUAUGACAGGACCUUUAUGUUGGGUAAAUUGCUGNNNNNNNNNNNNAUGUCCAAUUCAUUAAUAUAAUUAGAAUCACGAUAUUUUGUAAGUAUCAUAAAGAUUUUGCUA
rnacentral:misc_RNA from 1 species